rnacentral:tRNA from 2 species
GGGGAGGUGCCAGAGUGGUCGAUUGGGGCCGCCUGCUAAGCGGUUGCCGGGGGAGAACCUCGGCCGCAGGUUCGAAUCCUGUCCUCCCCGCCU